GAAACGACUGCUAAGACUGGAUAGGAAGAUAAAAGGCAUCUUGUAUCUUUUAAAAGACCUAGUUAAUAGGUAUGCUUUAGGAGGGGCUUGCGCCAUAUUAGUUAGUUGGUAGGGUAAUGGCCUACCAAGACGAUGAUGUGUAGCUGGACUGAGAGGUUGAACAGCCACAUUGGGACUGAGACACGGCCCAAACUCCUACGGGAGGCAGCAGUAGGGAAUUUUCGGCAAUGGAGGAAACUCUGACCGAGCAACGCCGCGUGAAUGACGAAGUACUUCGGUAUGUAAAGUUCUUUUAUCGAGGAAGAAAAGCAAAUGGCGAACCAUUUGUUUGCCGGUACUUGAUGAAUAAGCCCCGGCUAAUUAUGUGCCAGCAGCCGCGGUAAGACAUAAGGGGCAAGUGUUAUCCGGAAUUAUUGGGCGUAAAGGGUGCGUAGGCGGUCUAGUAAGUCAGUGGUGUAAUGGCAACGCUUAACGUUGUCCGGCUAUUGAAACUGCUAAACUUGAGUUAGAUAGAGGCGAGUGGAAUUCCAUGUGUAGCGGUAAAAUGCGUAAAUAUAUGGAGGAACACCAGAGGCGUAGGCGGCUCGCUGGGUCUUAACUGACGCUGAGGCACGAAAGCGUGGGGAGCAAACAGGAUUAGAUACCCUGGUAGUCCACGCCGUAAACGAUGAGUACUAAGUGUCGGGUUAAACCGGUACUGAAGUUAACACAUUAAGUACUCCGCCUGAGUAGUACGUACGCAAGUAUGAAACUUAAAGGAAUUGACGGGACUCCGCACAAGCGGUGGAUCAUGUUGUUUAAUUCGAAGAUACCCGAAGAACCUUACCAGGUCUUGACAUGUUUUUGCAAAAUGAUAGUAAUAUCGUGGAGGUUACCAGAAACACAGGUGGUGCAUGGUUGUCGUCAGCUCGUGUCGUGAGAUGUUAGGUUAAGUCCUAAAACGAGCGAAACCCUUAUCGUUAGUUGCCAGCACGUUAUGGUGGGGACUUUAACGAGACUGCCAAUGAUAAAUUGGAGGAAGGUGAGGAUCACGUCAAAUCAGCAUGCCCCUUAUGACCUGGGCUACAAACGUGAUACAAUGGCUGUUACAAAGGGUAGCUGAAACGCAAGUUCUUGGCCAAUCCCCAAAAACAGUCCCAGUCCGGAUUGAAGUCUGCAACUCGACUUCAUGAAGUUGGAAUCGCUAGUAAUCGCGAAUCAGCAUGUCGCGGUGAAUACGUUCGCGGGGUUUGUACACACCGCCCGUCA
rnacentral:rRNA from 1 species